UUUGGCCGGAGCUUUCGAGGCUUUUUCCAGCGAAUCCACGGCGAGUUAGGGGUCAAGGCAGAAAUUCCGGCAAAACACCCACCUCCGGCGAAACCAGUCCGGCGACGCGAGGAAGAAGACGCGCGCUUGGGUAGCGCGUGUACAGGGCGCGUGAGGGCGCGUGAGAGCUCCAAAUUGAGUUCUAAAAAUUGUCACGUGUUCGUGACGUCGUGUAGAUCACCGUGGUGAAACUUGUACGAACGACGAAUGUAACCAAACUAAGCGUGAGGGUUACGAGCCGGCUACUUAUCAGUUUAAGAUAUCAGAGCUUGGUGGCUACGAGGAAUCCAGCGGUGUUCUGACAGAAUAGACAAAAAUUAGGACUCACCUUUGGGUGUUUCAUUUUAGAAAUUGUAUCUUUAAAGCUUCCGUACUGUGUAAAUGAUUACGUCACUCUCACGUGACGG